rnacentral:misc_RNA from 1 species
UCUCCGUAGGUGAACCUGCGGAGGGAUCAUUACAGAGUUCAUGCCCUACCGGGUUGGUCUCCCACCCUAUGUUAUUAUUACUUUGUUGCUUUGGCGGGCCGUUAGGCUCCGGCCCGACUACCGGCCCCGGCUGGUAAGCGCCCGCCAGAGGACCCAAAACCCUGAAUAUUAGUGUCGUCUGAGUACUAUAUAAUAGUUAAAACUUUCAACAACGGAUCUCUUGGUUCUG